rnacentral:lncRNA from 10 species
AAUGGAAACCCUGAUGGAUGAAUAUUUUUAUGAACAACGUUAAUCAGGCUCAGAGCAGCCCAAGCCCUGGGGCUUUGUCAUGUCCAGUCAUGAAGCUGUAAGUGAGGAUGUCUAUACACUGACAGCAAAGAGGGUAAUUCCUAACGUUUGCAUGGGGCUUCAUCAUGUAUAGAAAAUAUUGCUUUUAGUCUAGGCACCCACUCUGGGUACCACAAUUGUUGCUGUGGUUUUGGUAGUGGAAGAUGAACACACCAAAUUUAGCAGCCUCAAAAGGCCUGUGUGGCUUUCUUCGUAAAGAAGAGCAUCUCAUUCAGAAGCCCAAAGAAGCAAAUGAGCUACCCACAGAGUCACCACCGUAGCUUUCUUGGAGAGGAGGGCUCCAGAGGCUUCCCUUCUGAAACAAUCCAGCAUUCUGGAAAGUGGGGGAGGUUAGUGUGUCAAUGGAUUAGAGGUGAAGAAAAAUGGGUAUCUUUCAUAAACACCCUUUCCCACACACAAUCACCAUUGCCUGGGAAAACCCUGUAG